CGGGGCUUAAAGUCUUGUAAUUGGAAUGAUGGGAAUUUAAACCUCUUCCAGAGUAUCAAUUGGAGGGCAAGUCUGGUGCCAGCAGCCGCGGUAAUUCCAGCUCCAAUAGCGUAUAUUAAAAUUGUUGCAGUUAAAAAGCUCGUAGUUGAAUUUCUGCUCCAUUGCUUGUGUCCCUCUGGGGUCUGUGCAUGUGGCUUUUUUCGGACGGAGUUUCUUUGUCUGAAUGUUUACUUUGAGAAAAUUAGAGUGCUCAAAGCAGGCUUUCGCCUUGAAUAGUUUAGCAUGGAAUAAUAAAGUAGGACUUUGGUUCUAUUUUGUUGGUUUUAGGUACCAAAGUAAUGGUUAAUAGGAACAGUUGGGGGCAUUCGUAUUUAACUGUCAGAGGUGAAAUUCUUAGAUUUGUUAAAGACGAACUACUGCGAAAGCAUUUGCCAAGGAUGUUUUCAUUAAUCAAGAAC
rnacentral:rRNA from 1 species